ensembl:lncRNA LOC108352070 uncharacterized LOC108352070
CCCACUGUCAAUUCUCAGAAUUACUCACUGAGCCAAUGGAGAUCUUUUCAGAAAAUCCUUGUCUGUGCCUGUAUCUUGAAAGGCUUUGGUUUUGUUUUCUUCUAGCAGUUUCAAAGUUUUAGGUCUCAUAUGGAGGUCUCAUAUGGAUAGUCUGAAGUGGUUUUUGUGCAAGCUAAGAACAGCAUUAUCCACUCUCCAUACGUAAAGGUACAGGGUCCGAAGUGCCGCGCACAUCUCGCAAAGCCUCGUAGCUGCAAGUGUGCCUUCCACACUCCCCUGAGCUCGUUGAUCUCCUUUGUAAGAUUCCGGAGGGCUAGGAAGAUGUCCCAGUGGGUGAGAUAUUGGAUGUGGAAGCAAAUUCGAAGAUGUCGGCUUAGAUCCCAGCACUCACGGAGAAAGCCACGUGUGGAGGACGCUCGGUAUUGCAGUUAAACCAGAUCAGCGUUUGUUCUCAGGUUCAUUUGCCGUAGUAAGGCCAACCUCGAUAUUCCAAGGAUUCCAUAAAUCAAGAAAAAAUUAUCUCAAAAUAAAGUGUUCAACACGUCUCUACGUGAACCGGGCAUACAAGCCAGGUGUACAGUGUGCUGCAGAAUGAUGGAGUGAGCUGUAAAAGUCUCCCCUGGGGACUUAUCAUUUAUUAUCUGUUAUCAUCAGAUAAAGGGGGGAAACGUGAUAAGAAUAACAGAACCCAGAUGUGAAGAACAUA